AAUCCUGACGCCGGCGGCGGGGGCGGCUCUGCACCCAGGUGGCGGGGAGCGUGUUCCGGCCGCGCAGCCCCGGCUCCCCCGCGGACCCCCUGCUCCUCUUUAGGAGACCUGCCAAAGCUUCAUGGCUCCUUGAUCCAUCGGCUCUCAGAGGAAGCACCGCCGGCAGCACCUGAAGCCAGACUGAACAUCAAAAGAGAGUGAUUUCUAUGCAGGGACCGUUAACAGAAUGCAAAGACUUUUCAACAGCAACUGCCUCUUCAGAUUGAGGGAUUGUUAGUGAUAUGCUUUCCUAAACAGCAGAAAAAUCGAAGAUGUCUAAACAGUUCGUGGCUUUGACAGUAACCGCCCUUCUGGGCAUGGCAGUGGGGGGGUUUGUGCUGUGGAAAGGCAUUCAGAGCCAGAGGAGGCGGAGGAGUAAAAGCAGCGGCGUCACCCCACAGCAGCAGAAAGCUCAGGGCGGGACAGAGCCAUCCCCUCCGGAAGACCCGCUGCACUGCACUGCCCCCAGAGCCUCGUGGGAGCAGAGGAUCCUGGAAGCCAAGGUGGUGACUGUGUCUCUGGAGGCAGAGUGGCAUCAGAUCGAGCCAUUGCUGAGGAGCCAGUUAGAAGAUUUUCCAGUGCUUGGAAUCGACUGUGAGUGGGUGAAUUCAGAAGGCAAAAUCAGUCCUUUGUCACUUCUACAAAUGGCCUCCCCAAGUGGCUUCUGUGUCUUGGUUCGUUUGCCCAAGCUGAUCUGUGGAGGAAAAACACUACCCAAAACGUUAUUGGACAUUUUGGCUGAUGGCACUAUUUUAAAAGUUGGAGUAGGCUGUUCAGAAGAUGCCAGCAAACUUCUACAGGAUUAUGGCCUCCUUGUUAAGGGCUACCUGGACCUCCGAUAUCUAGCCAUGAGGCAGAGAAACAAUUUGCUCUGUAAUGGGCUUAGCCUGAAAUCACUUGCUGAGACCGUUUUGAACUUUCCCCUGGACAAGUCUCUCCUGCUUCGUUGCAGCAACUGGGAUGCUGAGAAUCUCACUGAGGACCAGGUAAUUUAUGCUGCCAGAGAUGCCCAGAUUUCAGUGGCGCUCUUUCUCCAUCUCCUUGGAUACCCCUUCUCUGGGAAUUCAACUCCAGAAGAAAACACCAAUCAUACUGAGUGGAAAAAAGCCUUAGAGAAGUGCCAAGAUAUGGUAGAUGUCCCAUUCCGAAGCAAAGGCAUUGGUAGACUGGGAGAAGAGGGUCAUGGAGAGACAAUAGAAUCGCAGCACAAGUCAAGAAAUAAGAAGUCUAAAGUCGAAGGAGUGAUGCCAGGCAGCCACCAAGGGAGAGACCCUAGAAGACAUAAAAGGAAGCCCCUGGGAGUGGGCUACUCUGCCAGAAAAUCACCGCUCUAUGAUAACUGCUUUCUCCACGCUCCUGACGGACAGCCGCUCUGCACUUGUGAUCGAAGAAAAGCCCAGUGGUAUCUGGACAAAGGCAUUGGAGAGCUCGUGAGUGAAGAGCCUUUUGUGGUCAAGCUACAGUUUGAACCUGCCGGAAGACCUGAGUCCCCAGGAGACUAUUAUCUGAUGGUUAAAGAGAACUUGUGUGUAGUAUGUGGCAAGAAAGACUCCUACAUUCGGAAAAACGUGAUUCCACAUGAGUAUCGGAAGCACUUCCCCAUCGAGAUGAAGGACCACAAUUCCCACGAUGUGCUGCUGCUCUGCACCUCAUGCCACGCCAUCUCCAACUACUAUGACAACCACUUGAAGCAGCAGCUGGCCCAGGAGUUCCAGGCCCCCAUUGGCUCCGAGGAGGGCCUGCGUCUGCUGGAAGACCCUGAGCGGCGGCAGGUGCGCUCUGGCGCCCGGGCCCUGCUCAAUGCAGACAGCCUGCCCAUCCAUCGCAAGGAGGAGCUGCUGCAAGCACUCAGAGAGUUUUACAACACAGACACAGUCACAGAGGAGAUGCUUCAAGAAGCUGCUAGCCUGGAGACCAGAAUUUCCAAUGAAAACUACGUUCCUCAUGGGCUGAAGGUGGUGCAGUGUCACACAGAGGGUGGGCUGCGCUCCCUCAUGCAGUUGGAGAGCCGCUGGCGUCAGCACUUCCUGGACUCCAUGCAGCCCAAGCACCUGCCCCAGCAGUGGUCAGUGGACCACAACCAUCAGAAGCUGCUCCGGAAGUACGGGGAUGACCUGCCCAUCAAGCUGUCAUGACGCCGUCUCUCCCAGCUGGAGCCCAGAUAGACACAGCCAGAAAUUGAGAGUGGAGAGGGAGAGCGUCAGAGAGACACCUGCAACCCUGCUCCGCCACUCGUGAAGCUUUCCCCCUGCAGUGUUACACAAGUGCAGAGGAGUUGGCUGCCAUCCCCUUUUAAACCCUCAGCCGAGCCUGACCUCGGCCAAGAUUUUGCCUCAUCCUCUCAACAUUUCAGCAUAGAAUUGCCUUUCAGCCAUGGACUGCUUAACCAAAAGCACAUGCAAUAGUGAUGGUUUCCAAAGAACAAGGCUUUGCAAAAUGUCAUCGCGUUCUUUUCUCAGAACACUUUCUCUGAACCAGCAACCCAGCAAACCCUCAUAUGAUGAUUCUUUGGCUAAUUUAUGCACAAUGACUGGAAUUGUUAAUAAUACUUUAUUAAAGUGCAGUGUAAUGA